GACGAACGCUGGCGGCGUGCUUAACACAUGCAAGUCGAACGGAAAGGCCCUGCUUUUGUGGGGUGCUCGAGUGGCGAACGGGUGAGUAACACGUGAGUAACCUGCCCUUGACUUUGGGAUAACUUCAGGAAACUGGGGCUAAUACCGGAUAGGAGCUCCUGCUGCAUGGUGGGGGUUGGAAGUUUCGGCGGUUGGGGAUGGACUCGCGGCUGAUCAGCUUGUUGGUGGGGUAGUGGCUUACCAAGGCUUUGACGGGUAGCCGGCCUGUGAGGGUGACCGGCCACAUUGGGACUGAGAUACGGCCCAGACUCCUACGGGAGGCAGCAGUGGGGAAUAUUGCACAAAGGGCGGAAGCCUGAUGCAGCAACGCCGCGUGCGGGAUGACGGCCUUCGGGUUGUAAACCGCUUUCGCCUGUGACGAAGCGUGAGUGACGGUAAUGGGUAAAGAAGCACCGGCUAACUACGUG
rnacentral:rRNA from 1 species